ACCUGCCCCGCCUGCAGACUCGGAGGCUGCACGCCCACGGCCGAGGCAAGCUGACACGCACGUCAAUUCAUCACCCCCUGCCUCAUUCACAUUCUCACGCCACGGGCAGAGGCUCCCUUCGGCCUUGGUCCCUGGACACAGAGCCCCCUUCCUUAGGCCUCUGUCUCUCGGUGCUCCUGCCCUCCUCCGCCGGCCUUGUCGACCGCAAACCACCCUGUGGAUUCUAGCAACGUACUCAGAGCACCUGGAUACCUAGAAAUAACUGCGACAAACUUGUGCAAGAUAUGUCUGGGCAAAGCAGGAAGACUUCAUUGAAAGAUUUCCUUGACUUUACUGACCUUCUAAAUAUGAAGAAAGCAGCUCAGAAACGGAAUGAAUAUUGCAACACUGAAGACGUCCAUGUCAGCCUUCAGAAGCCUCCCUGGUGCUGUGCGGGCAGUCCUGGCUGUCUGUAGAGUGACGCCCACCUCUGUCUCUGUCACUGGCACAGCACCGCCCCCGGCCCUCGCCAACAAGGUCUCCCGCUCUCGGGCCCCGUGUGAAGGAAAGAGCAGAGGGUCUGUGAAAUGCAGCACGGUGCCAUUCCUUCCUGCAGGGCUUGAGGUUCUGAAUGCUGUCCGAGGGAGAAGCAGAGUAACCCGGAGCAGCUGAGACUGACAGAAGAAAACAACAAUCACAAGAAGCAAUGAGAAACCUCGAGGAAUGCCACGCGGGUGCUGCAGUAGCCCCGGAGUCCCCUAGGUGUCAGGGCAGAGCUCUGCCACCUCUGCUCCUCGCGGCAGACGGCUCCGAAGUAGAAUGCUUCCAUCCAAAGUAAACAGCUGCACUGCUUAAGGAAAUACUAAUUUUCAAGAAGAAACAAAAGGUCUUGGAUAUGAUAACACAAAAACACAGUCCAAAGUUUGUCCUCUAGCUCACAAACUGCAGAGACUUUCCCUAUACUGCUUGAUAGAAUCCAACAAGAAUUCAGAUUGUGUGUCUCGGCAUUUCACGGCACCUUCCGUUUGGAAACACUCAUGGAAGUGAACAGGACCAGUGGGAGAGACUUAAAGACGGUGGUGGAAACAGCCGUGGCCUGCGUGUGGCUGUGCCUGGGUCACAUCCCAGCCCUUCUCUGAGGGCUUCCCGUCUGAGCGUCCUUCGUGAGUCUGAGAAGUGGAAACUGUAGCACUAUCCUGUGUCUAUGUCGCAGUGCAGAGCUGCUGUGAAGAUCCGACGAGACAGUGCGUGUGACACUGCUGUGACAGUGCUGCAGGCGACAGCUCGGCCGCGAACGUCCCCUGAGCGCUCGUCGCCACUGCGCAGCGUGGCAGCCCGAUCCGCGUCCUCAGCGUCCUGUCGUGGUGGUGUUACUCUCUGCGUUGGCAUAUGAGGCCUGGCAAGUGGAGGGGCGAGUCACCUGCCCAGGUGCUGCAGCGCUAUCCAUCAGCACUGGGCUCAGGCAGACUGGCAUGCAUCUUUCUCCAAGGCAUCAUGUGCAGAGGAUGAGGAACCUGGCUCUCUGGGGUUCCAGGACCGCUGCCGGCUCCUCCACGACUCACAGGGCUGCAUUUCUCCAUCUGUGGUCCAACUGCAGCAUUUGACACAUUGGUCUUGUCUGGAGUCUGGGGACAUGUGAGAUGAAGUCAGCAUCCUGAGCCCUCCCCGAGAGGGCGGCUCCAUGUUUUCUUCAUGGCGUCUCUGCAGAGACACCGGAAGGAGAAUUUCUAAGAAGUUCUCUCCAAAUGCAAAAGAACUGGGACCCUGCCGAGCCACGAAGGUUUUUGUGGCCAUGUCCUGCUGUGACAGGGAGACUCCUGAGGCCCAGCAGUGAGUGACA